UCUCAUUCAAGUUUUAAGCUACAUUGAUUUAAAUAUUUACCUAUUUUCUUCAUCUCCUAUAAGUUAAUCUACUCUUUUCUCAGUUAUUUCUAAAACCAGAUAAUACUUUAACAUUUAAAAUCUCUUCUAUUCAUUUGUCUUCAAUCAUCAACAACUACCAGUAUUCAAAGAUGGAGAGAAAAAAAUAUGAAAAAGGUGACAAAGAAGUUACACAUGAAGAUGAUGAUUUUGGUGAUGUUUCAACAAAGGCAAAUCAAACUUCGCAAUAUCAAGAUUGGAUGGAAGUUAAUUGUAAGAACAAAGAGAAAACAAUGAUUAACCAUGAAAAUAACUCCAACACAAGCGAAUUGUUUUAUCUGAGUUUUCUUUUAAACAAGAACAAAUUAUCAACCAGCUACACAGAUAUACUAACUGUUAAUGGAGUUUUGUAUCCUACCUUUGAAGAUGCUUAUAAUGCUUUUUUUAUUUAAACUACAAUUUUAUUUUUAGGGUUUUUCAAUUACUCAGUUAUUAAGCUCCUAAUGUAGCUCAUAUAUUUGAUUA